rnacentral:tRNA from 1 species
AAUUUUAUAGUCAGUAGAGUGUCUGGCUCGCAACCGAAUUGUCGUGGGUUCGAAUCCCGUCUAAAAUUA